rnacentral:misc_RNA from 1 species
ACUCUUCAACCCAUCAGUUUCUUGUAGACUGUUUGGUGUUUGGAUUUUGAAUGUUGCUGGUCCUUUGACGUAGCUCGUUCGUAAUAUAUUAGCAUUUCUAAUUCGAAUUCGGAUUGACUCAGUGUAAUAGACUAUUCGCUGAGGACACUUUUAUUAGUGGCCGAAUAAGAUAAUUGUAGACGCUUCCAACCUCUAUAGUCAAUUUUAG